rnacentral:rRNA from 1 species
UAGGGAAUCUUCGGCAAUGGACGGAAGUCUGACCGAGCAACGCCGCGUGAGUGAAGAAGGUUUUCGGAUCGUAAAGCUCUGUUGUAAGAGAAGAACGAGUGUGAGAGUGGAAAGUUCACACUGUGACGGUAUCUUACCAGAAAGGGACGGCUAACUACGUGCCAGCAGCCGCGGUAAUACGUAGGUCCCGAGUGUUGUCCGGAUUUAUUGGGCGUAAAGCGAGCGCAGGCGGUUAGAUAAGUCUGAAGUUAAAGGCUGUGGCUUAACCAUAGUACGCUUUGGAAACUGUUUAACUUGAGUGCAGAAGGGGAGAGUGGAAUUCCAUGUGUAGCGGUGAAAUGCGUAGAUAUAUGGAGGAACACCGGUGGCGAAAGCGGCUCUCUGGUCUGUAACUGACGCUGAGGCUCGAAAGCGUGGGGAGCAAACAGGAUUAGAUACCCUGGUAGUCCACGCCGUAAACGAUGAGUGCUAGGUGUUGGGUCCUUUCCGGGACUCAGUGCCGCAGCUAACGCAUUAAGCACUCCGCCUGGGGAGUACGACCGCAAGGUUG